AACGGGACCAAGACCGCGCGGUCAAGCCAAUCCCAUAAAACCAUUCUCAGUUCGGAUUGUAGGCUGCAACUCGCCUACAUGAAGCUGGAAACGCUAGUAAUCGCGGAUCAGCAUGCCGCGGUGAAUACGUUCCCGGGCCUUGUACACACCGCCCGUCACACCACGAGAGUUUGUAACACCCGAAGUCGGUGGAGUAACCGUAAGGAGCUAGCCGCCUAAGGUGGGACAGAUGAUUUGGGGGGU
rnacentral:rRNA from 1 species